rnacentral:rRNA from 1 species
UACAGAGGGUGCGAGCGUUAAUCGGAAUUACUGGGCGUAAAGGGUGCGUAGGCGGUUGUUUAAGUGUGAUGUGAAAGCCCCGGGCUUAACCUGGGAAGUGCAUCGCAAACUGAAUAGCUUGAGUAUAAGAGAGGGUGGCGGAAUUUCCGGUGUAGCGGUGAAAUGCGUAGAGAUCGGAAGGAACGUCGAUGGCGAAGGCAGCCACCUGGCUUAAUACUGACGCUGAGGCACGAAAGCGUGGGGAGCGAACAGGAUUAGAUACCCUGGUAGUCCACGCUGUAAACGAUGAGGACUAAAUGUUGUAAGGGGAACCUUAUAGUAUUGAAGCUAACGCGAUAAGUCUUCCGCCUGGGAAGUACGGCCGCAAGGUUGAA